rnacentral:pre_miRNA from 1 species
AGUGGGAUAGCUGGGUCAAAUGGUGGUUCCAUUCCAAGUUUUCUGAGGAAUCUCCAUACUGCUUUCCAGAGUGGUUACACCAAUUUGCAGUCCCACCAGCAAU